rnacentral:rRNA from 1 species
UGGGGAAUAAAGGAAGCGACUGCUACUUAAAACCAUCGCGAACUCGUCCAAGUUGCUUCGGCGGCGCGGGACCCCUCGGGGGACCGCAGCGCCGCUUCCCCCCCGGGGGUUGCGGGGCGCCCGCCGGAGGUCACAAACUCUCAUGUAUUAUAGUGGAUCUCUGAGUAAAAAACAAAUAAGUUAAAACUUUCAACAACGGAUCUCUUGGUUCUGGCAUCGAUGAAGAACGCAGCGAAAUGCGAUAAGUAAUGUGAAUUGCAGAAUUCAGUGAAUCAUCGAAUCUUUGAACGCACAUUGCGCCCGCUAGUACUCUAGCGGGCAUGCCUGUUCGAGCGUCAUUUCAACCCUCAAGCCCUGCUUGGUGUUGGGGCCCUACGGCUGCCGUAGGCCCUGAAAGGAAGUGGCGGGCUCGCUACAACUCCGAGCGUAGUAAUUCAUUAUCUCGCUUAGGGUGUUGUGCGGUGCUCCAGCCGUUAAAGACCAUCUUUAACUCAAGGUUGACCUCGGAUCAGGUAGGAAUACCCGCUGAACUUAAGCAUAUCAAUAAGCCGGAGGAA